UCCAUGGGGGCUCAGUGGUAAAGAAUCUGCCUGCAAAGCAGGAAACCCUGGUUCAGUCCCUGGUCAGGGAG
rnacentral:tRNA from 1 species